rnacentral:lncRNA from 1 species
UUAUUUUGACACAUGUAAUCGGUUACUCCCCCGUGUUAACCGGUUAUAACACUUUAAUUACUCAAAAAACUCUUAACACAACAUCUUAAUUCUUAUGCUCCAAGUCUUCCAUGCCCAUGUUCAUCUUCAAAGUCUUGAACAAAUCAUUUGUGACUCCCUUAGUCAAUAAAUCAACCAUUUGAUCUUCACUUCUACAAUAU